rnacentral:rRNA from 1 species
UAAACUAGGAUUAGAUACCCUAUUAUUUUAAAUGUGAAUGGAUUAAAUACUAAAUUAGUAUUAGGUAUGUUCUUGAAAAUUAAAAAAUUUGGCGGUAUUUUAGUCUUUUCAGAGGAACCUGCCCUAUAAUUGAUAAUCCACGAUUAUAUGAACUUUAUUUAUUAGUUUACAUAUCGUCGUAGUUUGAAUAUUUUAUUAGAAAUUUUAAUAUUCUAAAAUUUAGUUAAAAAAUAAAUCAGAUCAAGGUGUAGUUUAUAUUAAAGGAGAGGUGGGUUACAAUAAAUUUAUUUUAGGAAAUUUUUUUUUAAAAAAAAUUGAAUAUGGAUUUGAAAGUAAUUUUAUAUUAUUUAUUUAAAAUGAUUAUAGCUCUAAAAUAUGCACACAUCGCCCGUCGCUCUUAA